CUCUUGGUCAAAUAAAUAAAAUCUUUAAAAAAAAAAAAAAGAUAACAGAGAGUAUCAUGAAUUUCAGUAUCUUUAUGCAGGAGCCAGUUUCCUUUUCUUUAUAUUAUCUCAAGUUUAUUAUGUAUGCCAAAUAGAUACACUCUCGUAAGUAUUUACGUUAACAUUUCACAGAUACCCAGAGAUAAAUUCUGACUACAAUAUUUGGGACCUUUGAUGUAGCCUCUACUGUUCCUUAUUUUUUCACUGAGCAAAAUGCAUUGUCCUUAGGGUAAGCAAUUUUUCCAAAUGCUGCUGAGUAUUAGUCAAACUUAACUGUUUUCUGCUCCAUAUUUACAGGAGGCCCCAAGUUCUCAUGCCUUCAGGCUUUUGUUCAAGUGCUUGGAUCUGACUACCUUUUUUUUUUUUUUUUUUUUUUUUGGUCCAAUUCCUCAUGUGUAAAUUCUUCUUUUCUUCAAGGGCCACUUCAUGUUUUAUUCCCUCAAAGAAAUUUUCUGUCCACCAAGCAACCAGAAGGACCUAAUUCUCUCUUAGCCAUCACAGCUCUUUACCUAUGUGUCAGUUUUUCUUAAGACACACAUUUCUUUCUUGAAUUAAAGGUGGCUAAUGGAUGGGGCUUGGAGGGGCUUAGUACCUAGCAGCUACUUAUUUUCUACCUGAGGUUUGAACCAAAUAAGAAGUAAGAAUCCAGCAGGUGGGAAUCAAAUAGCCUCUUGCUCACUUAUAAAGCCAAAAUUCGCUUCCUAGUACUGCGUGUCCAACUUGUCACCAGCAACACUGAUCCUGUGGAAUUUCUGGCACCGAGGAAGAUCCCGUUCUGUCUUCCUGGAGGCAGCUGACUUAGCCAGUGGAAGGGGAGGAAGGAAGUGGACUUUGAAUACUCAGUUUCUCUCUGACACUCCUGUCAGAAUCCAGAAAACCGCCCAAGCCUUCUGUUCAGGGUCUCAUCAACGGUGAGAUGACCGACCCACCUGGCCGCUGGCUGGCACGCCCUUCCAUGGCCGAAGAUGGAACAGGGAGCUGGUGUUUUCUCCGGUUUUAGCCUCUCACUCACUCCCUCACGUGAGAAAGGACAGCUUUCAAGCAAAGAGGUGAAAAUUGUCUUGAUAACUCAGAAUAAAAAAGAAUUACCUUUGCCUGAAAUAUCCAGUGGCUCAGAAUUGGAAACCUGGGUGCUCUGGGGCAGCACUGUCUGGUGACUCUGGCAGCAUCCAAGCCUGAAAGCGAGGGGACACAUCUGAUGGCAUUCCUGGUUACAGACAAGCCA